rnacentral:rRNA from 1 species
UGGGGAAUCUUGGACAAUGGGCGCAAGCCUGAUCCAGCCAUGCCGCGUGAGUGAAGAAGGCCUUCGGGUUGUAAAGCUCUUUUACCAGGGACGAUAAUGACGGUACCUGGAGAAUAAGCCCCGGCAAACUUCGUGCCAGCAGCCGCGGUAAUACGAAGGGGGCUAGCGUUGUUCGGAAUUACUGGGCGUAAAGCGCACGUAGGCGGAUUUGUCAGUCAGGGGUGAAAUCCCGGGGCUCAACCUCGGAACUGCCUUUGAUACAGCAAGUCUUGAGUCCGAUAGAGGUGGGUGGAAUUCCUAGUGUAGAGGUGAAAUUCGUAGAUAUUAGGAAGAACACCGGUGGCGAAGGCGGCCCACUGGAUCGGUACUGACGCUGAGGUGCGAAAGCGUGGGGAGCAAAAAGGAUUAGAUACCCAAGUAGUCCCUGAGCGGGCUGGCAAGGCGCAU